GGAGAAGUGGCAGAGUGGUUGAAUGCGGCGGUCUUGAAAACCGUUAGGGGCCGUGAGGUUCCUCGAGGGUUCGAAUCCUUCCUUCUCCG
rnacentral:tRNA from 1 species